GAUGUGCUCGUCCCAGCUUAUGGUAGAGGGGUUGCCAUGUGAUUGCUUAAUUAUCUGUUGUCUCCGUUUUUUGCUUCUAGUAAAUCUCAUUGUUUAUCAUCCUAAACUUUCACUUCUAUGUCUUUCAGAUCACCUGAUUAAUCCGCCAUUGUGCAUUGAGAAGUUUCAUGCGGCAACUUCUUUACUUCGGCAAAACUAGCAGCAGAAAAGGGAGUGAAUCUAGCUGGUAAAAUAGCUAGCCAUUGGAGACGCCCUAUGAUUUGUACAUGUCGUGUCCGCAAUCUUGCUACUACUGAUUGGAGACACUUUUUGAAGCCUAUGCCUCCGUGUUAGGGAUGUUUUUUUUCACUAGCCAUGUGAUAUUAAUCCCUAGAAAUUCUCGUGAAAAAGGUAGCAUUAGCCAUCACUUAGGUAUAUACUAAUUAUCAUUGAAAACAACAUAUUAUCGGAUGAUUUUUGUUUUUUUUAAAGAAGUAUCCACCUUUUCUAGGAUUAAAAUAAUUCACCCAGAUGUCUCAUUUGACGCAGCUUUAUUACAACUAAUUUUAUGAGCU